GUAGGUGAACCUGCGGAAGGAUCAUUACUGAACUGUUGACGCGAGCUGUUGCUGGUCCUCAAAUGAGGGGGCAUGUGCACGCUCUGUUUACACAUCCACUCACACCUGUGCACCCUCUGUAGUUCUACAUGGUCUGGGGGACACGCCGUCUUCCUCGUGUAGCUCUACGUCUUUACACAUACACCGUACAAAGUCUUAUGGAAUGUGCACCGCGUUUAACGCAAUACAAUACAACUUUCAGCAACGGAUCUCUUGGCUCUC
rnacentral:misc_RNA from 1 species